UAUUGGUCAAUGGCCGGAAGGCUGAACCAGCCAAGCCGCGUGAGGGAGGAAGGCGCAGAGCGUCGCAGACCUCUUUUGCCGGGGGACAAAAGGCCGGACGUGUCCGGUCCUGAGGGUACCCGGAGCAAAAGCAUCGGCUAACUCCGUCCCAGCAGCCGCGGUAAUACGGAGGAUGCGAGCGUUAUCCGGAUUUAUUGGGUUUAAAGGGUGCGUAGGCGGGCUGUUAAGUCAGCGGUCAAAUGUCGGGGCUCAACCCCGGCCUGCCGUUGAAACUGGCGGCCUCGAGUGGGCGAGAAGUAUGCGGAAUGCGUGGUGUAGCGGUGAAAUGCAUAGAUAUCACGCAGAACUCCGAUUGCGAAGGCAGCAUACCGGCGCCCUACUGACGCUGAGGCACGAAAGCGUGGGUAUCGAACAGG
rnacentral:rRNA from 1 species